rnacentral:rRNA from 1 species
CGGUAAUUCCAGCUCCAAUAGCGUAUACUAAAGUUGUUGCAGUUAAGAAGCUCGUAGUUGGAUUUCUGCGGGGACGGAGCGGCCGGACGCAACUUGCGUCUCGAGCUAGCGCUUUCCCCGCAUCCUGCCGCGAACCGUGCUACCAUUAGUUUGGUGGCGCUGGGGAUCGGCUCGAUUACUUUGAGAAAAAUAGAGUGUUCAAAGCAGGCCACACGCCUUGAAUAAGUUAGCAUGGAAUAAUGACUAAGGACUUCGGUUCUAUUUUGUUGGUGUUCGGGACUGAAGUAAUGAUUGAUAGGGACAGUUGGGGCGGUCUGUAUUCCAAAGCGAGAGGUGAAAUUCUUAGACCUUCGGAAGACAAACAGCUGCGAAAGCGUUCCGCAAGGAUGUUCCCUUUGAUCAAGAACGAAAGUUGGGGGAUCGAAGACGAUCAGAUACCGUCGUAGUCUCAACUAUAAACUAUACCAGCUAGGGAUCGGCCAACGUUUAAUUAUUCGACUUGGUCGGCACCUUAUGAGAAAUCAAAGCAUCUGGGUUCCGGGGGGAGUAUGGUCGCAAGGCUGAAACUUAAAGGAAUUGACGGAAGGGCACCACCAGCCGUGGAGCCUGUGGCUUAAUUUGACUCAACACGGGAAAACUUACCAGGUCCAGACAUAGGAAGGAUUGACAGAUUGAUAGCUCUUUCUUGAUUCUGUGGGUGGUGGUGCAUGGCCGUUUUUAGUUGGUGGAGUGAUUUGUCUGCUUAAUUGCGUUAACGAACGAGACCCCAGCCUGCUAAAUAGCGCGGCCGAGCUUUGCUCGGUGCGAGCUUCUUAGAGGGACCAUGAUGCGCGAUAGCACAAGGAAGUUUGGGGCAACAACAGGUCUGUGAUGCCCUUAGAUGUUCUGGUCCGCACACGGGCUACACUGGCGCCUACAACGAGCAUAUCAGCUGGCCCGAGAGGGACUUGGCUAAUCUUUUGAACCGGCGCCGUGCUUGGGAUUGACCUUUGCAAUUGUUGGUCAUGCAACGAGGAAUGCCUUGUAAACGACGAGUCAUCAGCUCGCAUUGAAUACGUCCCUGCCCCUUGUACACACCGCCC